rnacentral:tRNA from 1 species
GGAGCAGCACGGUAGCUCGUCGGGCUCAUAACCCGAAGGUCGCAGGUUCAAAUCCUGUCCCCGCAACCA